UGGGGAAUAUUGCACAAUGGGCGCAAGCCUGAUGCAGCCAUGCCGCGUGUAUGAAGAAGGCCUUCGGGUUGUAAAGUACUUUCAGCGGGGAGGAAGGGAGUAAAGUUAAUACCUUUGCUUAUUGACGUUACCCGCAGAAGAAGCACCGGCUAACUCCGUGCCAGCAGCCGCGGUAAUACGGAGGGUGCAAGCGUUAAUCGGAAUUACUGGGCGUAAAGCGCACGCAGGCGGUUUGUUAAGUCAGAUGUGAAAUCCCCGGGCUUAACCCGGGAAUUGCAUCUGAUACUGGUCAGCUAGAGUCUUGUAGAGGGGGGUAGAAUUCCAUGUGUAGCGGUGAAAUGCGUAGAGAUGUGGAGGAAUACCGGUGGCGAAGGCGGCCCCCUGGACAAAGACUGACGCUCAGGUGCGAAAGCGUGGAGAGCAAACAGG
rnacentral:rRNA from 1 species